ensembl:piRNA 21ur-2014 ncRNA
UCACCAAGAAUUCGGUUACUC